AUCAUUAUAUAAUUUAAGAGUUAAAAUAAAACAUUAAUAUAUGCAGACGAAGCUGAUAGUCAAGGGUAGUAUAGAACAUAUCGAUUUCUAUAUUAUAUUAGGUGACAAGUGGAGUGAUAUAUGGGUGUUGGGUGAUAGCGGAGUGUCUUACGGUGGAAUUCAUAGUCGUAGCAGGGGGCCCCUAAGGGGAUUAUUCAGCCGCUAUGUGUCGAAUUCAAUCCCUACGCGUUUCAUAGACAAAAGAAACCCCUCAUUUGACAGGAGCUGGCGGCUGACUGCUGAAUUACCGAUAUUUGUCAGCCAAACCAUCCCCUGGCAUUUUUUUUGUUGUUAUUCGUGAUUUAUUUAUUAGAAAGUGGACGUUCGGAUCGUUAUAAAUGAAGUUAUAAACAGCGAGUUAUAUCAGUGCCCAAGAUAUAUAUUCGCAAUUGCGUAAACCCAGUAUAAUACUAUGGCGAUAUGGAAUGUACGAAAGAUUCUCAUAUUAGGCAUAAUAUGCCUCUGUUUGAUGAAGAAUGAACACAGAAGACCAAGAGAGGAAUACCAAUACCGCUAGUAUUAUACAUUCUAGCAGCACUUCGAUUCUAUGAAACGGGAUGUUAUCAGACUGUAGGUGCAGUCCAUCAAGCAUUCUAUGAAAUAACAGAAAUGCCAAAAGUCAAGCUGUAUUGAUGUCACGCAUAGGUAUACGUAUAAACAACCCCGGAGGACCCUAUACACAGAUUUAAAGAAACCGGCUAUCAUGGCAGGGAAUAGCAGUGAUGAGCUCUGAGAAUACUGUUUUACCAAGAAUACUGAGAAUACUUUGGUCCUUGAAAAUCUGAGUUUUCAGAUCACAGUAAUUGGAAGACCCUCAUACCUUGAAAAGUCAGCAGCAUUUAAUAUCGAAGUAGUAGGAGUGAGUGCAGUGUAUUGUAAGGUGGUCACUCACUCUGAAGUCCAUAACAAUAGAAAAUAUAUACAAAUCUUAAUUGAAUGAAUGAUGGAAAAUAAAAAUUUAUUGAUUCAAAUUUUUAAUAAAGAUAAUUAUUAAAUGUUUA